rnacentral:lncRNA from 1 species
UUUUUUGUUUUGUUUUGUUUUUUGUUUUUUGUUUUUUGUCUUUUUAUUUCUGUGGCCAUCUCAGAUCUUGCUAGUUUUAGCCUGGUCUGGUUAUAAGAGAAUCCUUGCCUGUAAACAUUGUUGCCUUGAGGCCUAAUCUAGUGUUUAUGACAAACACUGUUUUGAGCAUAUAAAGAUGGCGACAGAAGAAACUGCACACAUGCUUUUAAUGUGUGUUGGGCUAAGGGCCCGUGGCUGCAUCCCUCUUCGUCACCUGUGUCUGUCUCUUGUGUGUCUCAGUUUCAUUUCGUGUCUAUUGCGAACUGCCAUGAAACGGGGCGGAAAGCAAAGCCUUGAAACUUGGUGGAAAGGUUCUAACAGCUUGCAUUCAUUUGUAAACAGCAAUAAGCAAAUGCAUGGUGGAAUGGGCCCAUACUCACUCACACACACUCUUCACUAACCUUUCCAGUACGGCAGAUGUGGCUUGGCUCUGGCAGCCCACAGGUGAAUUCGCAUCCAUGUUUCUUGCUUUUCGGAUCCACUGGAGUUAGACCACAGCGGCAGUGCAGGCUUUGUGAUUUGACCAUACCAGACCAGAGUUUUUAAGCUAAAUUCAGCCAAUUACAACUGGGGCGUUCCACACAUAACUUCAUGGGCUCUCUGUAUCAGUCGCACGCACACAAGCUCUCUAUGGAUUGGUUAUCUGGGGCCGAGGGCAAGGUCUGUGGAAUCAUCCCAACUCAUGCUUGGGCAGCAGGCAUGAGUUGUUCUUAUCAUUCACACUCACUCUGGAGCUAUGCCUCGAGUGCAGCCACUGUGGCGGCUUUACAGCAUGGGGAAAAUGCCUUCUGAGGCCAUGUGUUCUUUACAACCUCACAGGCUUUCUGACCUCGCCUUUUUGAUCAUGACAGCCUUCGCGUGAGAUUUUGUGAUUCAAAUGCUUUGACAAGAAAAUCUGCUGCACACAUCUUAUAUUUAAGACAGUCUUCUCUUGAUUCGGAUGUCUUCAUCUGGCCCAAUCUGUCUUCUGGGGAGGUUCAUGCAGUCUUCUACGGCUGGGGAAAGAGCCAUCUAGUCCUUGCCACUGUGCUGGGAACCCAAUGUAGGAAUGGUCAAGAGAAAGCACCUCUUAGCUGCAACCCCAGGCCUCUCCUACACCUCCAGUUCCCACAUACACACUCUCACCAGACAAGAGCACGUCCUAACAGGGCAAGUAUGCAGAUGGAGAAGUUGCAAGGAAACGAGCAGAUGAAACAGUCUUGAUUCUAAUGUGAAGAAAUGCUGUGAUGUUUACAAGUGGGAUCACCAGUGUCCCCUAGGAAGAUCACAGAGAGAGAAAGAAGAUGGAACUAGCAGAGAAUUUGAUAUCCAGCCAAUUCAGAGGGUAAGAGGAGCCAGGCCCUCGGGAUGCUGAGAUGAGAACCUAAUAAAACGG